rnacentral:rRNA from 1 species
CAAUAGCGUAUACUAAUGUUGUUGCAGUUAAAAAGCUCGUAGUUGAACUUCUGGUAGGAGUGUCCCGGCCUUUUUGUUUUUACAAAUUGUAUGCUGUGUGACAUCUCUGGCCAUCCUUCUUCUUUGUUUAAAGAAGAUCUUUCACUGUAAAAAAAUUAGGGUGUUCAAAGCAAAAGUUUCUUUGGAAUAUAUUAGUAUGGGAUGAUAAGAUAGGCUCUAGAUGCUAUUUUGUUGGUUUGCACAUUUAGAGAAUGAUUAACAGGGACAGUUGGGGGUAUUCGUAUUUACAUGUCAGAAGUGAAAUUCUUGGAUUUUGGAAAGACGAACUACUGCGAAAGCAUUUACCAAGGAUGUUUUCAUUAA